AAGAUCUACUUUAACAACAGCAGUUGUAUCCUGUGGUGAAAGCACUGUUCUGGAGAACUGAGAUGACAACCAUAGUCUCUGCCUUCAUGGAGCUAGCAGAAACAGUAAAGAUAUCCUUUCUUCUACUUAAAUUAGAAAAGAGGAAAAAGUAUACUUAGCAUUUGGAUUUCUAGAAGCUUUUUGGAUCACCUGAGUCCUUGUGAGCCUGCCUUGGAAUUUUAGGCUACCUGGUACCUGUUUCAAGCUAACAGAUAUUAUUCCUGCUCCAACAACUACACACCCACGCAUAUUUCACCAGCUUCAAUCAUCACUCGUUUAACUAAAUGAAUAUGUUAUGCCCAUUUCAAACCACCUAUACAUAUUCACACUCAGCAGAGAACAAACUAGCCAGAGAAGAAAACAAGAAAAGGGACAUUUCAGACAAGGGGACUAGCAAGAGCAAAGUCAUGAAGCAGAAAAUAUCAAGCUAUGUGCAGAGAGCUACAAUCAUUGCCAGAAGUGCAAAUUGAGGUUCGUCAAGGGAGGGGGCAUCUUUAUUGAUUUCAGUUACAUGCCACAUGAGCAAAUAUGCAGAUUACAUGAAUAUUUUAUGGUAACAGUGAGUCAAUAAGUCCAAGCUUGGCACCUCGGCACAUGAGUAUUAAAGAUGACUGAUGUAUAAGUUAAAUGAAUGUGAAGUUUUAUCCAUACCUAAUUGCCCUUUCAUCAAUAAACUUUCCUUUUUUAAAUUUUUAUUUUAGAGACAGCGUCUCACUCUGUCACCCAGACUGGAGUGCAAUGGCGCCAUCAAAGCUCACUGCAGCCUUGAACUCCUGGGCUCAAGUGAUUCUCCCACCUCAGCCUCCCAAAGUGCUGGGAUUACAUGCAUGAGCCACUGUGCCUAGCCUAUAAACUUUCAGAAUGUCCCAGUUUCAACAUGUAACAUCAGUUUUAUUAAACCUGUACGUUCAAAUUUAUAUGAAUUAAUUACAUUCAUCUUUUAUGAUUAAUGACCCAAACUUUCUAACAUGGUGUUUUUCAAACCAUAAACUAUAGACACAUAUCAGAAAUCUCACUUGAUGCAUUUAAACGUAGAUUCUUGGAAUUCAAGUCAUAUCACUGAAUUAGAGUAGAGCCUAAGAAUCUGCAUUUUGACAGACACCUCCAGCUGAUUCACAUCCACAGUGAAGUCUAGCCAUUUCACUAACAUGACACCUGUCUGUGGUGAGUUACACAAGAGUAACUGCUGGCAGAAGUUUA
rnacentral:lncRNA from 1 species